AACGAACGCUGGCGGCAGGCUUAACACAUGCAAGUCGAGCGCCCCGCAAGGGGAGCGGCAGACGGGUGAGUAACGCGUGGGAAUCUACCCAUCUCUACGGAAUAACGCAUGGAAACGUGUGCUAAUACCGUAUACGUCCUUCGGGAGAAGGAUUUAUCGGGGAUGGAUGAGCCCGCGUUGGAUUAGCUAGUUGGUGGGGUAAAGGCCUACCAAGGCGACGAUCCAUAGCUGGUCUGAGAGGAUGAUCAGCCACACUGGGACUGAGACACGGCCCAGACUCCUACGGGAGGCAGCAGUGGGGAAUAUUGGACAAUGGGCGCAAGCCUGAUCCAGCCAUGCCGCGUGAGUGAUGAAGGCCCUAGGGUUGUAAAGCUCUUUCACCGGUGAAGAUAAUGACGGUAACCGGAGAAGAAGCCCCGGCUAACUUCGUGCCAGCCGCCGCAGUAACAC
rnacentral:rRNA from 1 species